rnacentral:lncRNA from 1 species
AAUGUUAUUCCGGGAGAGUCCCUUUCGACUCUUCAUAGACUCCUAGUGAUGGAUGUCGGUCUAUGGAUGAAGAGGAAGGGGAGGGAUGCUCGGGGACAACCGCGGAUUAGAUGGAGUGCUUUGACUAAAGGAGAAAGCCCAAGAGUUGGAAAAGAGGUUAGUUGAGGGCGGAGCUUGGAGAAGUUCUGGGGAAGCGAAC